GACGAACGCUGGCGGCGUGCUUAACACAUGCAAGUCGAGCGGUAAGGCCCCUUCGGGGUACGACGAGCGGCGAACGGGUGAGUAACACGUGGGUGACCUGCCCUCAGCUCUGGGAUAAGCCUGGGAAACUGGGUCUAAUACCGGAUAUGACUCCAUGACGCAUGUCGUGGGGUGGAAAGCCUUGUGCGGCUGGGGAUGGGCCCGCGGCCUAUCAGCUUGUUGGUGGGGUGAUGGCCACCAAGGCGACGACGGGUAGCCGCCUGAGAGGGCGACCGGCCACACUGGGACUGAGACACGGCCCAGACUCCUACGGGAGGCAGCAGUGGGGAAUUUUGGACAAUGGGCGAAAGCCUGAUCCAGCCAUGCCGCGUGCGGGAAGAAGGCC
rnacentral:rRNA from 1 species